ACAUAAAUUUUUCAUAAACAUUUGAAAAUAUUAAAAUUAAUAAAUUAUAUAUAUCUGCUAUAAUCACCUCUGCAUGAUUUUCACCAACAAAUCCAACCCUUUUCCCGGUUUGCAAAUUACAAUUUUCGCUCUCUUUUUUAGAGCGAAAAGAGAUAUCUCCAUCUUUCUCCCGAUUUCUUAAUCGACAGGGUUAGGGUUUCUCUGCAAUUCCUAGCUCUAUUGAAGGCCAUCGGCUUCCCUUUUGAUUGUCCUUGAUUUUCAUUGUCAUUGUUUUCAAUCUUCUUUCGGAAUAGUUCCUCUACCACAUGGAGCGCAGGACAAUCGACUUGGAUCAAGGAUGGGAUUUUAUGCAGAAAGGAAUCACAAAGCUGAAGAUUAUUCUGGAAGGAUCACUAGAGCAAAUCAGCUCAGAAGAAUAUAUGAUGCUUUACACGACUAUAUACAAUAUGUGUACACAGAAGCCCCCUCAUGAUUAUUCUCAGCAGCUUUAUGACAAGUACAGGGAGUCUUUUGAAGAUUAUAUUAAUUCCAUGGUGCUGCCAUCUAUACGAGAGAAGCAUGAUGAGUUUAUGCUGAGGGAGCUUGUGAAAAGGUGGUCUAACCAUAAACUUAUGGUUAGGUGGUUGUCACGCUUCUUUCAUUAUUUGGAUCGCUACUUUAUUGCUCAGAAGUCGCUUCCUGAACUUAAUGAAGUUGGGCUGACUUGCUUCUGUGACCUGGUCUAUGAGGAAGUAAAUGGAAAAGUUAGAAAUGCUGUGAUUGUUCUUAUCAAUAAAGAACGUGAGGGAGCACAGAUUGAAAGGGCAUUGUUGAAGAAUGUUUUAGAUAUAUUUGUUGAGAUUGGAAGGGGUUCAAUGGAUCGUUAUGAACAAGAUUUUGAAGUACACAUGCUUGAAGAUACUGUUGCUUACUAUUCUGGUAAAGCAUCAAACUGGAUUUCGGAGGAUUCUUGUCCAGACUAUAUGCUGAAGACUAAGGAAUGCCUGAAGAAGGAGAGGGAUAGAGUUUCUGAUUACUUGCAUUCAAGCAGUGAGCCAAAGUUAGUAGAGAAAGUUCAACAUGAGUUGUUGGUAGUCCCUGCAAACCAAGUGUUUAAAAAGGAGCACUCUGGAUGUCGUGCAUUGUUUCAAGAUGUUAAGGUGAAGGAUCUUUCAAGAAUGUAUCGGCUUUACCAUAAAAUAUCCAAAGGCUUGGAACCUGUUGCUAAUAUUUUCAAGCAGCAUAUUACUGCUGAAGGGACAGUCUUGGUCCAACAAGCUGAAGAUGCUGCAAGUAGCCUGGCUGUGAAUGGUGGUGUACAGGAACAGGUUCUUGUGAGAAAAAUAAUUGAGCUGCAUGACAAAUAUAUGGCAUACGUGAAUGAUUGUUUUCAAAAUCACACCCUCUUUCACAAGGCCAUGAAAGAGGCUUUUGAGAUAUUCUGUAAUAAAACAGUUGCUGGCAGUUCAAGCGCAGAACUACUGGCAACUUUUUGUGAUAAUAUCCUCAAGAAGGGUGGAAGUGAGAAACUGAGCGAUGAAGCCAUAGAAGAAAUGCUGGAAAAGGUAGUAAAAUUGCUGGCGUAUAUCAGUGAUAAGGACCUUUUUGCUGAAUUCUACAGAAAGAAGCUUGCUCGGCGUCUUCUUUUUGACCGGAGUGCUAAUGAUGAUCAUGAAAGGAGUAUUCUUACAAAACUGAAACAGCAGUGUGGUGGACAGUUCACUUCAAAGAUGGAGGGGAUGGUCACUGAUUUGACACUGGCAAGGGAAAAUCAGACAAGCUUUGAGAAAUAUCUUGGCAAUAACCCAAAUGCACAUCCUGGGAUUGAUUUAACGGUUACUGUUCUUACAACUGGAUUUUGGCCCAGUUAUAAAUCCUCUGAUCUUAACCUUCCUGCAGAGAUGGUCAAGGGUGUUGAAAUUUUCAAGGAAUUCUAUGAUCAAAAAAGCAAGCACCGGAAACUUACAUGGAUCUAUUCACUGGGGUGUUGCCAUCUCAAUGGCAAGUUUGAGCAAAAAACUAUUGAGCUGAUUGUGUCAACCUACCAGGCUGCUCUCCUGCUGCUUUUUAACUCUUCGGACAGGCUCAGUUAUUCUGAGAUUAUGACUCAGUUAAACUUGACCCAUGAUGACUUGGUUAGAGUGGUUCAUUCCUUGUCUUGUGCCAAGUACAAGAUCCUUACGAAGGAACCAAAUACAAAGACCAUUUCCCAAACAGACUACUUUGAAGUUAACCACAAGUUCACUGACAGAAUGAGAAGAAUCAAGAUUCCUCUCCCCCCAGUAGAUGAAAGAAAGAAGGUUGUUGAAGACGUUGAUAAGUACAGGAGAUAUGCAAUUGAUGUUGCAAUUGUGCGCAUAAUGAAGAGUCGGAAAGUUUUGGGCCAUCAACAAUUAGUCUCGGAGUGUGUUGAGCAGUUGAGUCGUAUGUUCAAGCCUGACAUUAAGGCAAUUAAGAAGCGAAUGGAAGAUCUGAUCACUCGAGACUACUUGGAGAGAGAUAAGGAGAACCCAAACAUGUUUAGGUACUUGGCAUAAUUCAACAAGCAAUACAGUUAUGGGCCUUUGGUUGAAAAUGGCAUGUUUUUGCUGAGAGGGAUCAGAAAGAGUAUAUAGUUGACAGCGACUUACAAUUUGCAAAUUGAUGUAAAUGAUGUAGUUGCAGUGUUUAUUUAGUAAUUUAAUGAUAUUAUAAGUCAACAGUGUCAAAGAAUUUUUUUUUUUAAUUUAUAAAAAAUUAAUAAAUUUGUUAGUAAAAAAAUACUAUCAAAAGACGAACUCUUCACAAAAGCUACCGUACUCACCUCACUAAUAUCACAGCAUACCCUUUCUCCUGCUUCUCUCUCAAAUCACUCGCUCUCUGCCUCUCUCUAGAAUUACGGGUAGGGUGGUAUGGUCUCACUUGUAGAAUGUGAAAGUGAAACCCUAGUUACAGUAUCUGUGAGAUCUGUGCUCAAUCGCAUCAUUUUCUCACUAUAAGCUUUUUCUGAAUGGGGAAUUGCUGCAGAUCUCCGGCUGCCGUCGCCAGAGAAGAUGUGAAAUCCAACUUUUCUGGUCAUGAUCACGCCAAGAAAGAUGCCGGAGCUGCUAAGAAAGCGCCGAUCACUGUCCUCACUGGUGUUCCUAAAGAGAAUAUUGAAGAGAAGUACCUUGUCGAUCGUGAGCUGGGCCGCGGAGAGUUUGGCGUUACUUAUCUUUGUAUUGACCGUGAUUCUAGGGAGUUACUGGCCUGUAAGAGUAUCUCCAAGCGGAAACUGAGGACUGCGGUGGAUAUUGAAGAUGUGAGACGUGAAGUGGCGAUAAUGAAGCACUUGCCUAAAAAUUCUAGCAUUGUGAGCUUGAAGGAGGCCUGCGAGGAUGACAAUGCGGUGCAUUUGGUAAUGGAGUUGUGCGAGGGAGGUGAGCUGUUUGACCGGAUUGUGGCCAGAGGACAUUAUACGGAGAGAGCAGCUGCGGCUGUCACACGGACGAUUGUGGAGGUUGUGCAGCUGUGCCACAAGCAUGGAGUAAUUCAUAGGGACUUGAAGCCCGAGAAUUUUCUCUUUGCAAAUAAGAAGGAGAAUUCGCCUUUGAAGGCCAUUGAUUUUGGCUUGUCUAUAUUCUUCAAGCCAGGUGAGAGGUUCUCUGAAAUUGUUGGAAGUCCAUAUUACAUGGCUCCUGAGGUGUUAAAGAGGAAUUAUGGCCCAGAAGUAGAUGUCUGGAGUGCUGGUGUCAUACUUUACAUCUUACUCUGUGGUGUCCCACCCUUUUGGGCAGAAACUGAACAGGGAGUUGCACAGGCAAUCAUUAGGUCUGUCAUAGAUUUUAAAAGGGAUCCUUGGCCAAAGGUUUCUGAUAAUGCCAAAGACCUUGUGAAAAAGAUGCUUGAUCCUGACCCAAAGCGUCGGCUUACAGCACAACAAGUGCUAGAUCAUUCUUGGUUGCAGAAUGCAAAGAAGGCACCUAAUGUUUCGUUGGGUGAAACAGUGAAAGCAAGGCUCAAGCAAUUCUCUGUAAUGAACAAACUCAAGAAAAGAGCUCUUAGGGUAAUAGCUGAGCAUUUGUCAGUAGAGGAAGUUGCUGGUAUAAAGGAGGGAUUUCAACUGAUGGAUACUAGCAAUAAGGGCAAAAUUAACAUUGAUGAGCUAAGAAUUGGUUUGCAGAAACUAGGUCAUCAGAUCACCGAUACUGAUCUUCAAAUGCUAAUGGAAGCUGGUGACUUAGACCGGGAUGGGCAUCUGGACUAUGGGGAGUUCGUGACCAUUUCUGUUCACCUAAGAAAGAUGGGCAACGAUGAACACCUUCUCAAGGCCUUUGAAUUCUUUGAUAAAAACCAAAGUGGGUACAUAGAAAUUGAGGAGCUAAGAGAUGCGUUGGCUGAUGAAGUGGAUGAAAACAGCGAAGAGAUCAUUAAUGCUAUCAUUCAUGAUGUGGACACAGAUAAGGAUGGAAGAAUAAGUUACGAUGAGUUUGCGACAAUGAUGAAGGCUGGUACAGAUUGGAGAAAAGCAUCAAGACAGUAUUCGCGAGAGCGGUUCAAUAAUCUGAGCCUCAAAUUAAUGAAGGAUGGGUCAUUAGAACUGAACAGUGAGGGUAGAUGACUCAACAAGAAAGAAUCAUGACUUGUGAAAAGGCUGAAAGUACAAUUUUUUAGUUUUUGGUUUCCAGAUUUUCUUAACCCUUUUGUUAACUCCUUUUUUGGUAAAUAGGAUGUGAGCCCUGGUUGUUGAUUUUUGUUAUGUAAUUUUCACCUGAAUUUGGAAUGUUUCUUGUUCUUGUUGUGAGAGAGUGGUGGGACAAAACUAGUGAUGAAGGUUGAAGAAGAGGCUGUUAUUUGUGGUUGUAAAUGUUGUUACAAUGUUAUUAUUAAUUCAAUGCUUAUAGAAGAAAUGUUAUUAAUUCAAAAA
rnacentral:misc_RNA from 1 species